AAUUGAGCAACCUCCUGAGUAACGCGACGUGGCUUAUCCCUAUUAGUAGACGCAUAAAUAUAAAAUAUUUUUUUUUCUCCAUUUUUUCUUUCAUUCUUCGCAACUCUCUCUCUCUUCUCUCUCGUUCCAAACAGCGAUGGAAGAGACGAUUCGUCGGAAAAUCUGGAAAUUCAAUCGAUUCACAGCGAUGGAAGAGGACGGCGAGGUCUACCGGCUAACGAAUCGGCGAGAUAAGGUUCGUCGUCUCAUCUAUUUAUUUGGUGAAAGAGAGCUUUGCUUUAGGGAUCUUCGGAUUUGGGAUUCAAUUAUUGUGAUGUGUAGUUUGUAAUUGUGAUUGCUCUGUUUUAUAGUUGUAGUUAUAUAUCACAAGGAGAGAUUUUUUUUAAUAUAUUAUAGAAGUGAUGACCAUAGAAUUGUGAUUGAUGAGAGUCAGAAGCAAUGAUUGGGUUAUUCAAGGUAAAGGAAAAACGAAGAGAGCAAGCUCAAAAUGCUAACAGCGGUUGUGUUAUCUCACUUGAAAAGCACCAGGACUAGCAGCGACACACGAAGGUGCUCUCAUGAUUGUGGGAAACAACGUAGGAGUUACAAUAGGACACUCAAUUUUUGCUCUGACAAUGCAAUGGGGAGCUUGUGUUGUCUUUGUUUUGACCAGUCCUAAUCCAGAUCCGUCAAUCAGAAGAGAAUCAUCCAUCAAAAGAACAACCUCGAAGCAAGCGUAGAGGCGGAUCCUAAGAACAAGAAACCUGCAGGGAUUAUGCUACUGACUCUAAUUCCAUUUCUCUUGGUGACAUUGCCUGAUUUAUUUGAUGCACAACCUUGGAGUGACAUCAUUAUGUUGAUCACACUCAUAAUCUCAUGUUCUUCAACCAUUAUCUACUUUGUUUACUCGUAUUUUGAUACGGCAGACCAAAAGAAGAGUUUAGAUCACGCCAAGUUUGAGCUCAUGUUUGAAGUUCAUAAGCAUUUGCAGAGCUUUUCUCCUCGAACACUUAUUAGAGAUGGA